UAUGGUCUCAGUGGAGAAGAGAUUCUGUGAACUGUCAGAAAGGGAAACUGUCUUUGAUAAGCUGAAACUCUUAAUUCAAAAAUAAAAGAGCCUGAAUUGAACCCAGUGUGUUCCAGGUACAUUAUGUUCAUGUUCUCGUUAAAUUCUCACAACAUCCUGAGAGAAACCAGAAUUACUACAUGGAAAUGAGACAGAAAAUGCUAUUAAGGUGAAGAAAAUUAUAUGGGUUUUGGGGGAUUGGAUGAUUUCCUCAAGGUCACUUUUGAUAUCAUGUAUUUGACUUCAAAAUUUAUGAUCUACCUAGUAUAUUCAUACAUCCAAUGAAUACCAGUUUAUUGAACACUUCAUAUUUUCCUGUUCUAGGAUUACAGAUUAACAACUUUCCCAACUGGAUGAAAAGCUGCCUAUACUGAUGGACAAUACAGCUUUGUUAUGGGAGACUGCCAUUCAGAUUGUUUCCUGCUGAGAAGAGCAGCCAAUUGGCCUCUUAUCUCAGGACACCAUAUUCUUUACUACAUGGCUUCACCAAUAAGAUUACGAAACUUUAUAUGUGUCCCAAGAUUUUAAAUCAAAUAUGUGUAUUUGAUUUAGCCAACUUGUAAGGAAAAUGCCAAAUGCCACAAUCUAUAUACCAUUCCAGUUGAAGAUAUUUUUGUUAAUUUUUAAAAUAACAAGUGAAAGAGAUUCAUUAUACCUAUUUCCAGUCCAUAUAUAACCCCUAAAAUUAUCUUUGGCCAGUGGUGUCACCCUUCUAGUCUAUCAACUCUUUGAAUAAAC